ACACGCUCACACAAAACCAGCACAUGGGGAGCCUGGAAAGCGUUAGAAAACCAGCGUGACCCAUCAAACAUUCACCUCCCACAAAAAGGGCCGGCAGUGGGAGUGGGGGAGGGGUCCCUAAUGCUUUCCAGUUGUGUAGAAGUUAUAACAAAAUUUGCGAGAAACAGACAGAGGGAGAAAGAAAGAAGAGAGUGAGGGACUGGGGAGAGAAAGGAGCAGUUGCUUUGGGAACAAAGUUACUCCGAUUUGGCUGUAAGAGGCACAUCCCGCCAUUUGGCAUUCUUGUUCAGAAGCUGGCCUGCUGGCCUGACUGCAUUCGGUGUCGCUAGCUGUUUUGUGAGUACCAAGGUGGCAGACAACGCUUCUCUGCUGAACUCCUCUCCCACAGGACACUGAGCACUGAAGAGGCACAAAAAACUUUUCCUUUUAAUAGCAAACUGAUGCAGAAAUGGCAAGGUUUGACAGCAAGCAAAAGCACUCCUGUCUGUACUGAAGAGCUGAAUCGAUGGAGGAGGAUGCAGACCACUAACAUCUAACAGGCCUCUCAGCUCUUCUUUUGAUUUAUAGAAGCCUCGUUCUGUGCAGGGCUUUAAAUUGCAAUUAUGCGCGUGCCCCCAAGCAUUAAGAUUCCUGCAUUGCAGGGGGUUGGACUAGAUGACCCUUGGGGUCCCUUCCAACUCUACAAUUCUUUGAUUCUAUACCCCCACCCACCCCUAAAGAUUUAAGGUAGCUAGAAAGAGGUGGAUACAGGAGUUGGGAGAAUCCAUCAUUUUGUCUGGGGAUUUAGGAAACCUUCAGAUUAUCUAUUUAUCACAUUAUUAACUGCACCUUAGCCACCUCUUAUAAUUACAAUGCCAUUACCGCCAACGCAUUAAACAUUUCCAUUCACAAAAAAAACCUGGCAACUGCCCUUCACUGGCAUAUAUUUCUGCUCCACGUGCUCACCCACUUUCCACAAGAAGCCCUGCCAAAUUGCACGACAAAGUGAUGUCAUGACCUUCGGCUAUAAGUAUUGUAGGGUUGGCAGAGUAGCUCUCCUCUUGCUUUGCUCCCGGUCUAAAUGCUCAUUUGCUACUGGUGGGAUGAUAUUAAUAGGGCUCUGCUUCUGCAAUGUGGAAUUAACAGCAAUUUGGAUAAGGGAUUAUUGCACAAAACAGUUGCAGAAGCAGAAACACACAUUGCAGAUAUUUUACUUGAUAUAAAGUUCAUGUAACACAAAGGCGGGGAACUGGGAGAGGCCAUCGCGGCCUGCGCUUCAAAUGUAGCUCUCAGAAGACUUCCAUCUAGCCUCUCCUCCUUGGCUUUUGUGCAUCCAAUUUUAUCUGCUGGGACCCCAUUCUACCUUGGGACCACAACAGGGGUUGGGGGAGGGUUAAAGCAGUGUUAAAAAUUGAGAUAGGAAAGCUAGGAGCUAA